GUCCUCGUGGCGCAAUGGAUAGCGCGCGAGACUUCUAAUCUCGAGGUUGUGGGUUCGAAUCCCACCGGGGACU
rnacentral:tRNA from 1 species